rnacentral:misc_RNA from 1 species
GGCUUUGGAUGUGGGAGUUGCUGGCUUUUACGAGUCAGCUCUCCUUAAAUACAUUAGUGGUUACUGUUCUCCACUUCCUGGUGUGAUAAUAUCUACGCCUAGUGGAGAUGUUAAGUGUAGCUGCUUUCUAACCGUCCAUGCAAUGUGGACAACUUGAACCAUUUGACCUCAAAUCAGGUAGGACUACCCGCUGAACUUAA